CACUCAAACUAAUUUUUAGAUCUAGACGGCUGUUAAACGGUGUGUGCCUAUGUGUGCACCCUAAAAAAAGCAAAUCUCCCCAGCAGACCACAGGCAAUGUGAAGUGUUCAUCUCGCCAAUCAGCAAUUCCUGACUUACAGUAUUGCCCUAUUCAGCAAAUGCCAAUCCCAAGUUCCAUUUGAUCAGAAACUCCAUGACUCCUUCAAACAUGCUGAACGUUGGCUGUGUGUCUACUGGAGUAAAACACUGACUAUCCAAAGAGAAAAGGAUAUUUUGUUUUUAUAAUAAUCAUAUAUUAUUAUUUUCUUCUUCCCUUUCUAUGCAACUGUAAAUUAAUGAACAGAGAGGUAUUUGGAAACAGGAAUACAUUUGUGACUGAUUUGUAUACUGUAUACAGUGUUGGGAGAGUGGGUGGGGCUUUCUAAUAACGAUACCUUCUUUUUAAUAACAAUGACAAAAGUUGCCUAUGAAUUAGAAGACAAUUUCACGUAUUUACAUUCCUUCAUGUUAACCUUGUAAAAUAACUUCAUUUAUUUCUUGGACUCUCUUGCCUUUAUGUUUUGGUUAUUUAUAAUUUAUCAGCCACAUGACCAAAUGGAUUUCCUGUGUUUGUUUCUGUGAUUUGGCCAAAUUAACAAGUUCAUAGGUUUCAAAUAUUUCAAAUAUUUUACGUAUAUGGGUUAAGCUAUACCUCUGUGUAUGCUAUCUAACUGUAUUUGACCUCAUACACUUACUUUUUCAUUGUCCACUUUGGAGACCACCAGAAAAAUUCUGCAGGCCUCACUGGCAUUUCUAUUGGGAUUUUUCCUCUACAUUUUAUUUCCCCAUUCUCUAUAAGUAGACCUUGAUUUCUUUAUUUCAUGCCCUGGUCUAUUCAAUAGAACAAGAUAAUGAUAAUCUGAAAGAUAAUUUCCCAAAGGUACCCAUUUAACCACAUUGUCAUUUGAUACUGCAACAAAACUUGGCACCUUCCCUAGUUUAUCCAGGUUUUGAUUUUUAUUAUUCAGUGCCCAGCAUCCCUUUACCUGAUGAUUGAGGUGUUGCUAUCUUUGACCCCCUUUAAAGACAAUUUUGUUGCUGUUUAUGUAUACUCAAGACCGUUACAAUUCUCAAAAUUCCCAGUUUUAUUUUUUUACUGAAAACAGACACAAAUGCAAUGUGUGUAUCAUAUUUCUUUUGGGUUAAUGAAUACAUGUUUUAUUAUCACAUUAGAUCUAUAUACUUGGGAAGGAUGUUCAUCAAGUGUCUGCUUCUAUAUAAAAAAAAAAAAA